rnacentral:rRNA from 1 species
AGUGAACGCUGGCGGUAGGCCUAACACAUGCAAGUCGAACGGCAGCACAGUAAGAGCUUGCUCUUACGGGUGGCGAGUGGCGGACGGGUGAGGAAUACAUCGGAAUCUACUUUUUCGUGGGGGAUAACGUAGGGAAACUUACGCUAAUACCGCAUACGACCUACGGGUGAAAGCAGGGGAUCUUCGGACCUUGCGCGAUUGAAUGAGCCGAUGUCGGAUUAGCUAGUUGGCGGGGUAAAGGCCCACCAAGGCGACGCUCCGUAGCUGGUCUGAGAGGAUGAUCAGCCACACUGGAACUGAGACACGGUCCAGAGUCCGACGGGAGGCAGCAGUGGGGAAGAGUGGACAAUGGGGGCAAGCCUGAUCCAGCCAUACCGGGUGGGUGAAGAAGGCCUUCGGGUUGUAAAGCCCUUUUGUUGGGAAAGAAAAGCAGCAGGUUAAUACCCCGCUGUGGUGACGGUACCCAAAGAAGAAGCACCGGCUAACUUCGUG